rnacentral:rRNA from 1 species
AUUGAACGCUAGCGGGAUGCUUUACACAUGCAAGUCGAACGAGUGGCGGACGGGUGAGUAAUAUAUCAGAACGUGCCCAGUAACGGGGGAUCAAUACUCGAAAGCGUGGCUAAUACCCCCAACUCUUGGUGCGGCCGAUCACGGAAUAGCUAGUUGGCGGGGUAAAGGCUCACCAAGGCAACGAUCCGUAGCUGGCUUGAGAGGGCGACCAGCCACACUGGGACUGAGACACGGCCCAGACUCCUACGGGAGGCAGCAGUGGGGAAUUUUCGACAAUGGGGGAAACUCUGACCCAGCCAUCCCGCGUGUGUGAGAAGGUCUUCGGGUUGUAAAGCUCUUUUGGCAGAGAAGCGGUAUCUGCAGAAUAAGCACCGGCUAACUACGUGCCAGCAGCCGCGGUAAUUC